ACUUUGGUGGCCUAGUGGUUAGAGUGUCUUCCUCGGAUGCAGGAUGUCUUGGGUUCGAUCCCUGGCUGAAUCA